CCCUGGCACUUAAUGAAUUCUUCAACUCUCUUCCUCUGUUCUUCUCACUCACAACUUCGAAACUCAAAACAAACUGUAUCAAUCUCGGAUCAUCAUCAAGCGAGCUUAAUUAGCUUUAGGCAGGAAAGAAAGAGACAGUACAGCAGAGUCUGCAGAGAUGUGUUUUGUGUUUUUAUGUGACGAAGAAGAGAGGGAUUUAGGCAGGCAACAAGCUUCAGGGUCAUGUCCUCACUGUGGAGGUAAAGUACAAGCCGUGGAUUUUGAAGGCCGGUGGAGGUUCUGUUUCUUGCCCAUAUGCUACAAGAUGAAGAGAAAAUAUUUAUGCACUUUAUGUUCCAGGCGGCUGGAAUUAUCUCUUAAUAGCUGAUUCCUAGAUGUCUUCUUUAUCUUGCAUGUCUUUCUUUGCUUCUUUUUUUUUUUGGUAAUAUUUUUUUCAUGUCUUUCGUUAUUAUGUUGUGAAGAGAGGGAUGGCUUCUUCAUAUGAUUAAAUGUAUAUUAUGGCACCUUUAUUAAGUGGUUAUGGGGAUUCAGUGUUCCUUGCGUUGAUCUA